rnacentral:rRNA from 1 species
UGCGAAGGGGGCUAGCGUUGUUCGGAAUCACUGGGCGUAAAGCGCACGCAGGCGGAUUGAUAAGUCAGGGGUGAAAUCCCGGAGCUCAACUUCGGAAUUGCCUUUGAUACUGUCAAUCUCGAGUCCGGGAGAGGUGAGUGGAAUUCCUAGUGUAGAGGUGAAAAUUCGUAGAUAUCGGGAGGAACACCAGUGGCGAAGGCGGCGAUCUGGGCUGAUACUGACGCUGAGGUGCGAAAGCGUGGGGAGCAAACAGG